rnacentral:rRNA from 1 species
UACGGAGGGUGCAAGCGUUGCUCGGAAUUAUUGGGCGUAAAGGGUAGGUAGGUGGUCUUAUUUGUCUGGGGUGAAAGCCUUGAGCUUAACUCAAGAAGUGCCCCAGAAACGGUAAGACUCGAGUCCUGGAGAGGGUCGUGGAAUUCCCGGUGUAGCGGUGAAAUGCGUAGAGAUCGGGAGGAACACCAGAGGCGAAAGCGGCGACCUGGACAGGUACUGACACUCAGCUACGAAAGCGUGGGGAGCAAACAGG